rnacentral:rRNA from 1 species
CGACUCUCGACAACGGAUAUCUAGGCUCUCGCAUCGAUGAAGAACGUAGCAAAAUGCGAUACUUGGUGUGAAUUGCAGAAUCCCGUGAAUCAUCGAGUUUUUGAACGCAAGUUGCGCCCGAAGCCAUUAGGCCAAGGGCACGUCUGCCUGGGUGUCACG